rnacentral:rRNA from 1 species
CGAACGAGAAAGGGGAGCAAUCCCUGAGUACAGUGGCGCACGGGUGAGUAACACGUGGGUAAUCUACCUCUUAGUGGGGAAUAUCUCUGGGAAACCGGAGUUAAUACCGCAUAAGCUCGAGAGAGGAAACGCGAAAGCGGCUGAGAGAGGAGCCCGCGGCCGAUUAGCUAGUUGGUGGGGUAAAGGCUCACCAAGGCAUAGAUCGGUAGCCGGCCUGAGAGGGCACACGGCCACACUGGCACUGAAACACGGGCCAGACUCCUACGGGAGGCAGCAGUGGGGAAUCUUGCACAAUGGGGGAAACCCUGAUGCAGCGACGCCGCGUGAGCGAUGAAGCCCUUCGGGGUGUAAAGCUCUUUCGACAGGAACGAUAAUGACGGUACCUGGAGAAGAAGCUGCGGCUAACUACGUGCCAGCAGCCGCGGUAAUACGUAGGCAGCAAGCGUUGUUCGGAGUUACUGGGCGUAAAGAGUGCGUAGGCGGUUCCGCAAGUUUGGUGUGAAAUCUCCCGGCUUAACUGGGAGGGUGCGCCGAAGACUGCGGGGCUGGAGUGUGGGAGAGGCAAGCGGAAUUCCUGGUGUAGCGGUGAAAUGCGUAGAUAUCAGGAGGAACACCGGCGGUGUAGACGGCUUGCUGGACCAUGACUGACGCUGA